rnacentral:rRNA from 1 species
GACGAACGCUGGCGGCGUGCCUAAUACAUGCAAGUAGAACGCUGAAGAGAGGAGCUUGCUCUUCUUGGAUGGGUUGCGAACGGGUGAGUAACGCGUAGGUAACCUGCCUUGUAGCGGGGGAUAACUAUUGGAAACGAUAGCUAAUACCGCAUAACAAUGGAUGACCCAUGUCAUUUAUUUGAAAGGGGCAAAUGCUCCACUACAAGAUGGACCUGCGUUGUAUUAGCUAGUAGGUGAGGUAACGGCUCACCUAGGCGACGAUACAUAGCCGACCUGAGAGGGUGAUCGGCCACACUGGGACUGAGACACGGCCCAGACUCCUACGGGAGGCAGCAGUAGGGAAUCUUCGGCAAUGGGGGCAACCCUGACCGAGCAACGCCGCGUGAGUGAAGAAGGUUUUCGGAUCGUAAAGCUCUGUUGUAAGUCAAGAACGAGUGUGAGAGUGGAAAGUUCACACUGUGACGGUAGCUUACCAGAAAGGGACGGCUAACUACGUG